UACGUAGGGUGCGAGCGUUAAUCGGAAUUACUGGGCGUAAAGCGUGCGCAGGCGGUCAGUUAAGUCUGAUGUGAAAGCCCCGGGCUCAACCUGGGAAUGGCAUUGGAAACUGGCUUGCUAGAGUGUGGCAGAGGGGGGUGGAAUUCCGCGUGUAGCAGUGAAAUGCGUAGAGAUGCGGAGGAACACCGAUGGCGAAGGCAGCCCCCUGGGCCGACACUGACGCUCAGGCACGAAAGCGUGGGGAGCAAACAGG
rnacentral:rRNA from 1 species